AUAAGACGAGAAGACCCUAUGGAGCUUUAGACACCAGAGCAGACCAUGUUAAACACCCCCGAUAAGGGACUAAACCAAAUGGGACCUGCCCCAAUGUCUUUGGUUGGGGCGACCGCGG
rnacentral:rRNA from 1 species